GAUGAACGCUAGCUACAGGCUUAACACAUGCAAGUCGAGGGACCGGCGCACGGGUGAGUAACACGUAUCCAACCUGCCCUUUACUCGGGGAUAGCCUUUCGAAAGAAAGAUUAAUACCCGAUAUAAAGGAUGGGGAUGCGUUCCAUUAGGUUGUUGGUGAGGUACCGGCUCACCAAGCCUUCGAUGGAUAGGGGUUCUGAGAGGAAGGUCCCCCCGAUGUGAAAUGCGGCACGGUCCAAACGCCGAGGGGAGGGAGCAGUGAGGAAUAUUGGUGAAUGGGCGCUAGUCUGACCCAGCCAAGUAGCGUGAAGGAUGAAGGCUUAUGGGUCUUAAACUUCUUUGAUAUAAGAAUAUGUAUUAUAUGAAUAAGGAUCGGCUAACUCCGUGCCAGCAGCCGCGGUAAUUC
rnacentral:rRNA from 1 species